rnacentral:rRNA from 1 species
CCUACGGGAGGCAGCAGUGAGGAAUAUUGGUCAAUGGCCGGAAGGCUGAACCAGCCAUGCCGCGUGAAGGUCAGUGCCCUAUGGGCGUUAAACUUCUUUGGUGCGGGAGCAAUAAUGGUCACGUGUGGCCAGACGAGAGUACCGUACGACUAAGCAUCGGCUAACUCCGUGCCAGCAGCAGCGGUAAUACGGGGGAUGCAAGCGUUAUCCGGAUUUAUUGGGUGGAAAGGGCGUGUAGCCGGGUUGACAAGUCAGAUGUGAAAUCCUGCGGCUUAACCGUAGAACUGCAUUUGAAAGUGUUGAUCUUUAGUACUGGAGAGGCAGACGGAAUUCCUAGUGUAGCGGUGAAAUGCGUAGAUAUUAGGAGGAACACCAGUGGCGAAGGCGGUCUGCUGGACAGCAACUGACGGUGAGGCGCGAAAGCGUGGGGAGCAAACAGGAUUAGAUACCCCGGUAGUC